GUCUCGGUGGCGCAAUUGGUAAGCUUGCCCUUUUAAACAUUCAUCCCAUCACCCAGUAACUAAUUCAAAUAACAGGUUAGCGCGUACGACUGUUAAUCGUGAGGUUGAGAGUUCGAUCCUCUCCCGGGACG